CCGGCGACUCUAUGCAGUCAAGUCUGCCGGCUUUCAAGACCGUGCCCGGGUAAUGAUAACCAUCUCACGUUGUACCUUUGCCUUCACUUACCCUAUUGUGUUUAAUCUUUUUGUCCUUUCAGUGCCCAGGCCAAGAUCACCAAGAGGGCGAAGAAGUCUAAGCCGGUCGACGAGCCAGACUUGACUGAGCCAGAGGCAGCCGCUCAAGAGCCGCCAGCUGCCUCUGCACCUGAGGCCGCAGCCCCAACCACCAAGAUAACUACAGAAGCUGCUGUUAACCCGGAGGCCUCCAGCUCGGCUCCCCCAGCUGAUGACCCGGACGUGGUAAUCACCCGGACGGAGUUCGUUGAGCCGGGGAGACCUACCGUGCUGGCCAAGUGCUCCGCCAAAGGGGAGCUGCUAGAGUCGCACCGGGUUAACCUGGACCUCACCGACUACUCCAACUUGAACAUUGGAGAGAUCGUCUCCGGCUUCGUCAGCCAAGUGCACAAGAGCCGGGAUGCAGAGAUUGCUAUGGUGACCCAGAUCCAGCAGAAAUCUGAGGUAUCAUUCUGCUGUCCUCUUACUUACUGCAUAGUUACCUUUACCAUGCUAGCCCCCAAGUCGACGACUUAUGAUUGAAUAUGUUGUAGACUUAGGUUCCGGCUUACUCAAUUGAGCCGGCAGUUUGUAGAUAGAUACGUUCAAUAUGCAUUAGCCCCCAAGUGCCAAGUGUCUUUGCUUGGAAAACGCUUGGGACUUAUAUAAUAACUGUUCAUGUCAUAACCCGGAAAUGUAUGCAGGCUGCCGGCAAGAAGCUAGAGGCCGACAUGGCUGAUCUCAAGAACCGGCUGAAGAUGCAAGAGAUGGAGACCCGGAAGGCAAACGCCAAGUUUGUAUCCAGCAUCGCCGCGCAAGAGAAACUGAAGACAGAGUUUGACGCUGAGCGAAAGGCGUGGGUCGAAGAAAAGGCCACAUUGGUGAACCAGGCUGAACAGGCGGAGAAGGCUCUCUCCGAGAAGACCGCCGAGCUCUCCAGCCUAAAGCGCCAAGUGUCUCAGAUGGUGGCCGCAAUCUUCGGUAAGUCGCCUCACCGACUUUCAUCAAGUUUAAAAUUUUUAUAUCUCAUAAUUUAUCCUUGUCGGCGGCUUAUCUGACUCUGUUAAACAGGUCCCAGAAGCGCCAACCUGAAUCAGAGUGUGGUGACCAAGCUGAAGGCCGUAUACACCCUGGUGGAGCAACUCUACACCGGGUCACAACGUGCCUUGGCUGUGGUGGCCCUCUCCAACGAGGUGCCGACUCACCUGGCGGAAGUCCUUCGCCGGCUCGCCGUUCUUCCUCAAAGGAUCCCAGAACUGCAACGGGCCUCUACAAGAGCCGGAGCGAUCGCUGCGUUGAGCCGGGCCAAGGCGUUCUUGCCAGAGUUAGACCCGGCGGACAUCGCCCUCGGCUACCCAAGUCUGAAGGAAGACGGCACCGCCUUUGAUCAGAAAGACUUCGCAGCUUGCGUGAAGGCCGUACGCCCGGUGGCGACUCUUAUUGGCAACGACACGGAUCUGACCAAGUACCAGCCGGGUUAUAACGCAGAAAAUCAGAGGAUUCCAACCCCUCGCUAUGAAGCUCUGAGUUUAAUUCCGCCGGCUCCUCAGCACACCUUUGCCCCAGAAAUUGACCCGGCCGGGUUAAUUGACGAGGAAGCCCAAUUCGAGGCGCUGAGCGGCAUCGACUGGAAGUCGUCGACCUUCCAGACCGUGGGGACAGCCGGAGGAGAAGAAAGGAAUGAGCCGGAGGCUUCCACCCAGCAAGUGUCUUAGCUUCUGCAGCCGGCUUACCAAACAAUGUUCCACCCUUUUGGACUCAAUGAGUCCUUGUAAUAGAGUAGGACCAAUACUUUUAUCCUUUCCGUGCCAUCGUGCACGCCUUGAAUGUUAAAGUCGGAUGAAGUUGUCUCCUUUAUGUUCCUCCGGGUCAUAAUCAAUCCUUUGUUUUCCUUAAUCUCAAAGUAGCUGACUUUAAUUGUCCUGCAUAGAAGGGCAAAUCACAAGUCUCGAGGAGGCUUACCGCCCUGAGAAUCAUAAGUCUUAGAUAUAUAACCCGGAAUAUGAAUCAAAAAGGACUGAGCUCCAAUUAUAUCCUUAAUAUAGCCGUAAGAACAUACUUAGCGGCCUGCAAGUAUACUUCCGGUUUAGAUAACCCGGGUAAUAAGGUUGGCACCUCAAUUCCGGUUUACCUGUCUUAAUAACACCCAUUGUGUCCAACUAUCACUGGAAAUCAAAGUUUAAACCGGCCAAGUAAGACCCGGCCAUACACACCUUGAAAUGAUCAGAAGAACCUUAUAAUGAAACAAAAGAACUUAGGAGCUUCCGGUUCGAAUACGACCAGAGACCCGGCCCAAAGGGGUUAUGCUAAGAUUCGAAUACGAUCAUACAGCCCCCAGUGGGUGUGGCGAUGCCAAUCAAGAGGUAUCGACAGCUAUGUUCUCUUUGGUUCGAAUACGACCCAUGUUUGAACAGGAAGCCCCCAAGUGAUUUUAAGAAUUGUUUAACAACGCUGAUUCGAAUACGAUCCCCGUCGGUUCUCAAAGGGGUUAAACUAUGAUUCACAUAUGAUCAAAGAAAAACUCCCAACGAGCUCGGCACUUUGCCAAUCAAAUGGGUAUCGACAGCUAUGUUCUCUUUGGUUCGAAUAUGACCCAUGUUUGAACAGGAAGCCCCCAAGUGACCUUAUUACCUGCGGCUAGAUUCGAAUACGAUCAUAAGCCGGAUCCUCCUUCAAGUUAUCAUGUUAAUCUUGCAAAGAAAACAAACACGUGCACAUUUGGAGGAGAAAAAGGACAGAGGUCCUGCUUUAUUGCUUAUCAUAAUAUAUACAUGGCUGAGAGAGAUAUGUACAUUAUGAGAGCCGGUGGCUCAAGUGUAGUAAGGCCGAAGCUGAGCUAUGUUCCACGGCCGACGGGUCUCUUCCUCCGACUUACGUGAAUCUUUACGCUCCCGAAUGUCAAUGAGGUAAUAUGACCCGUUGUGCAAGUUCUUGCUGACCACAAAGGGUCCUUCCCAAGGCGGGGAGAGCUUGUGUGCAUCUGUUUGAUCCUGGAUGAGCCGGAGCACGAGAUCGCCUUCCUGGAAGACCCGGGUUUUAACCCGGCGACUAUGAUAAUGGCGCAGGUCUUGUUGGUAAAUCGCGGAGCGAGCUGCGGCCACAUCACGUUGUUCGUCCAAUAAGUCAAGAACAUCUUGGCGCGCCUGUUCAUUGUCCGCCUCAACAUAAGCCGCCACUCGAGGGAGUCAUGACGGAUGUCACUGCGGAGGACGGCCUCUGCCCCAUAAACCAUGAAGAAAGGCGUGAAGCCUGUAGACCUGUUAGGAGUAGUGUUGAUGCUCCAUAACACGGAGGGCAACUCCUCCGCCCAACAACCCGGCGUCCGUUGCAAAGGGACCAAAAGCCGGGGCUUAAUGCCCUUCAGAAUCUCCUGAUUAGCUCUCUCAGCUUGGCCAUUGGAUUGAGGAUGAGCAACUGAGGAAACAUCAAGCCGGAUAUGCUCUUGUUGACAAAACUCUUCCAUGACGCCCUUGGAUAGAUUGGUGCCAUUGUCAGUUAUAAUGCUGUGCGGAAAGCCAAAGCGAAAAAUCACCUUUUUCAUAAAUUGAACCGCCGUGGCUGCAUCGCACUUGCUAACUGGCUCAGCUUCCACCCAUUUUGUGAAUUUGUCAACUGCCACCAAGAGGUGGGUCUUCUUAUCCUUGGACCUUUUAAAAGGCCCAACCAUAUCAAGCCCCCAGACCGCAAAGGGCCAAGUGAUUGGGAUCAUCCUCAGCUCCUGAGCCGGCACAUGAGCCCGUCGUGAGAACCUCUGGCAACCAUCACAUUUACUGACCAAGUCCUCCGCAUCAGCAUGAGCCGUCAGCCAAUAAAAACCAUGGAGAAAAGCCUUGGCCACAAGAGAUUUUGAGCCGGCGUGAUGGCCACAAUCCCCUUCAUGGAUUUCACGCAAGAUUUCUUGACCUUCCUCAGGGGAGACACAACGCUGAAACACCCCUGUAACACUGCGAUGAUGCAACUCGCCAUCGAUAACGAUCAUUGACUUAGCCCGCCGGGUUAUUUGCCUGGCCAAGGUUUCAUCCUCAGGCAACUCACCCCGGGUCAUGUAAGCCAGAUACGGCAUUGUCCAGUCUGGUAUGAUAUGGAGAGCCGCCACCAGUCGUGCCUCCGGGUCAGGGACAGCCAAAUCUUCCUCUGUAGGCAACUUAACAGAAGGGCUAUACAGGACGUCCAGGAAAGUGUUAGGCGGCACCGGUUUUCGCUGAGAGCCCAGCCGGCCUAAAGCAUCCGCCGCCUCGUUCUUCCUGCGAUCGAUGUGUUCCACUUGGUAACCCUGAAAGUGCCCAGCAAUGGCAUCAACCUCGCGGCGAUAAGCCGCCAUGAGAGGGUCCUUAGAGUCCCACUUGCCCGAUACUUGUUGAGCCACCAAGUCUGAAUCACCGAAACACCUUACCCGGCUCAAGCUCAUCUCCUUAGCCAUCCGAAGACCGUGGAGCAAGGCCUCGUACUCAGCCGCAUUGUUAGUGCAAGGAAACAUCAACUGUAGCACAUAAUGGAACUUGUCACCUUUAGGGGAAGCCAAUACAACUCCAGCCCCCGAGCCCUCCAACUGCCUGGACCCAUCGAAGUGAAUAGUCCAAUAUGUGUUAUCCGGCUUCUGCUUGGGGACUUGUAACUCUGUCCAAUCAUUGAUGAAAUCCACCAGGGCCUGAGAUUUAACAGCAGUGCGUGGCACAUAUUUGAGACCAUGAGGUCCGAGCUCGAUAGCCCACUUAGCCACUCUCCUUGUGGCCUCUCUGUUUUGAAUGAUAUCACCAAGAGGGGCAGAACUGACCACAGUUAUGGGAUGACCCUGGAAAUAAUGCUUAAGCUUCCGGCUUGCCAUGAACACACCAUAAACAAGCUUCUGCCAAUGCGGAUACCGCUGUUUGGACUCGAUGAGCACUUCGCUGACAUAAUAAACCGGCCGCUGAACCGGAUGCUCCUUACCCUCUUCCUUGCGUUCCACCACUAUAGCCACACUGACGGCUCGUGUGUUUGCCGCCACGUAUAAUAAUAAGGGCUCCUUAUCAACCGGAGCAGCAAGGACUGGGGGCUCUGCCAGCUGCUUCUUCAACUCCUCAAAGGCGGUAUUAGCUGCAUCAUUCCAGACAAAGUUAUCAGUUUUCUUCAUCAACUGAUAUAAGGGCAUGGCCUUCUCACCCAAACGGCUUAUAAACCGGCUUAAUGCAGCGAUGCGACCCGCCAAGCGCUGAACGUCAUUUAUACACGCCGGCUUAGCCAGGGAGGUGAUGGCCUUGAUCUUCUCUGGGUUAGCUUCAAUGCCUCUGUCAGAAACCAAAAAUCCCAAGAGCUUGCCUGCAGGAACGCCAAAGACACACUUGGCCGGGUUAAGCAUCAUCUUGUAGAUCCGGAGAUUAUCAAAGGUUCUCUCAAAUCAUCUAUCAGGGUUUCCUCCUUUAUGGACUUAACCACAAUAUCAUCCACAUAAGCAUGAACAUUGCGCCCAAUCUGUUUAUGAAGACAGUUCUGCACGCAACGCUGAUAAGUCGCCUGUGCACACUUGAGCCCAAAAGGCAUGGACACAUAGCAGAAGGCUCCAAAGGGAGUGAUGAACGCCGUCUUCUCCUGGUCCUUAACCGCCAUUUUAAUCUGAUGAUAUCCGGAAUAAGCGUCCAGGAAACUUAGACGCGCACAACCGGCCGUAGCAUCAAUAAUUUGAUCAAUACGGGGAAGAGCGAAAGGAUCAGCCGGACACGCUUUGUUCAAGUCCGUGUAGUCCACACACAUCCGCCAAGUGUCGUUCUUCUUGAGUACGAGCACCGGGUUAGCUAACCACUCUGGGUGAAAGACUUCAACAAUAAACCCGGCAGCCAAGAGCCGGGCCACCUCUUCACCAAUAGCUUUCCGCCCCUCUUCAUUAAACCGCCGAAGGAACUGCCUGACCGGCUUAAAUUUCGGAUCAACAUUGAGAGUGUGCUCAGCGAGUUCUCUAGGUACACCUAGCAUGUCAGAAGGUUUCCAUGCGAAGAUGUCCCUAUUCUCACGGAUGAACUCGAUGAGCGCGCCUUCCUAUUUCGGAUCCAGAUUGGCACUGAUACUAAACUAUUGAGAUGAAUCUCCUGGAACAAAAUCGACAAGCUUAGUUUCAUCAGCCGACUUAAAUUUCAUCGCCGGCUCAUUCUCCAUAGUUGGCUUUUUCAGAGAGGUCAUAUCUGUUGGGUCAACAUUAUCUUUGUAAAACUUCAACUCCUCUGUUGCACAAACAGAUUCUGCAUAAGCUGCAUCACCUUCCUCACACUCCAGGGCCACUUUCCGGCUGCCGUGAACCGUAAUGGUCCCAUUGUGACCCGGCAUCUUGAGCUGUAAGUAUACAUAACACGGCCGCGCCAUGAACUUGGCGUAAGCCGGCCGUCCAAAUAUAGCAUGGUAUGGGCUUCUUAUCUUGACCACCUCAAAGGUCAAUUUCUCCACCCUGUAGUUGUUCUCAUCUCCAAAGGCCACUUCCAAUUCAAUCUUGCCGACUGGAUAAGCCGACUUACCAGGUACCACACCGUGGAAAAUAGUGUUGGACUGGCUGAGGUUUUUAUCAAUCAACCCCAUACGACGGAAAGUCUCAUAAUAGAGGAUGUUGAUGCUGCUGCCUCCAUCCAUGAGCACCUUAGUGAACUUAUAUCCUCCCACCUGAGGAGCCACCACUAGGGCCAAGUGACCCGGAUUAUCCACCCGUGGAGGGUGAUCUUCCCUACUCCACACUAUAGGCUGCUCAGACCACCGCAAGUAGCGUGGAACCGCCGGCUCAACAGCAUUCACAGCCCUCUUAUGAAGCUUCUGAUCUCGCUUACACAGACUGGUGGUAAACACAUGAUAUUGUCCACCGCUAAGCUGCUUUGGAUUGGUCUGAUAACCCCCCUACUGCUGUUGAUGACCCUGACCUGACUGUUGAUUAAAGCCCCCUUGACCGUUCGGAGGAUUGAAAUUUGAGCCGCCGCCCGGGCCAUGAAAACCGCCGGCGCCUGAGCCGCCGCCCGGGCCAUUGUAAUUCUUAAAGGCCUUCAUGAUUGCACAGUCCUUCCAUAGAUGAGUCGCUGGCUUCUCUCUAGAGCCAUGCCUUGGACAAGGCUCAUUCAACAGCUGCUCCAGCGUCGGGCCUAACCCGCCGCCCCGGGGAGGGGGUCUCCCCUUACGUCGCUGGUUACUCCCUUGUGAGCUGGCGUUGGCCACAAACUCUAGGCUGCCAUCGGCCUUGCGCUUGCCUCCUCCUUGGUUCCCCGGGUUAUGCUGAGGACCCUUGCCAUUGUCACUCUUCUUUCCCUUCCCUGCCCUUUCAUCAUCUGAAGGGGGAUCCUUGGUACCAUCAGAAUUGGCGUACUUGACAAGAGCCGCCAUUAGUGUACCCAUAUCAUUGCAGUCACGCUUAAGCCGCCCGAGUUUCAUCUUCAGGGGCACGAAACGACAAUUCUGUUCCAACAUUAAGACUGCAGAGCCGGCAUCCAUCUUAUCUGACGAAUGUAUGAUCUCCUUGACCCGGCGAACCCAAUGCGUCGUGGAUUCACCCUCCUGCUGCUUACAGUUAGUCAAAUCCACAAUUGACAUAGACUGCCUGCAGGUAUCCUUAAAGUUUUGGAUGAACCGGGCUUUCAGCUCAGCCCAAGACCCGAUGGAGUUCGGUGGUAGCCCUUUCAACCAAGUGCGGGCAGUCCCAUCCAACAUCAUGGUGAAGUACUUGGCCAUUGCUGCCUCACUGACCUCCAGUAGUUCCAUGGCCAUCUCGUAACUCUCGAUCCAGGCUGCGGGUUGUAAGUCAGCCGUGUAAUUGGGCACCUUCCUAGGGCCUUUGAAGUCCUUGGGUAGACGUUCAUUGCGGAUAGCUGGCACCAAGCAAGGGACAUCCCCAGUCCUGGUAGGGAUGCCCACAUCGACGGACGUCGUCGGAUAAGCCGGGGGAGUCUGGUAAGCCAUCAACUGAGGCACCUGCUCCGCCUCUUGCCGCGCUCUGUCUUGGUCUGCUGCGUGAAAGGCUCCAUUAUGAGCCGGGCCAUGGCCAGGGGGCGGGUCAUGGCGUCGGACGUUACUUGAGCCGGUCGCUAAGACCAUGUGCCGGCUGUAACUCGGGCUCCGGCCUGGACGAGGGGUCGAGUGGAUCCUGUCCCGGCUGUAGGAGUACGCCUGUUGUUGUGCCAGUGCUGUCUGAAGGAGUUCCCUGACCCGGCGGGUUUCAAUAGCCGUCGGAGAGUCGCCGUCGACUGGGAGAGCCGCCAGCCGUGCUGCCGCAGCGACCAUGUUCUCCAGCGGGUUAUUAUAAUGACCCGGUGGUAUUGGCAUGUACUGAGGCGGGGCAGGGGCACCUGGGGAGGCCCCAUCACUUGUGGCUGAAUAGGGGUCCCAGACCCGGGCACUAUGACCCCUGGCGGGUUACUAGACCCUGCACCUAGCGUGUUGAAGAGGUUGCGUGGAUCGUAAACCGGAGGGAGUCGAGAUUGGGCCUUUUGAUGCCUCCUUCUCAGGACCUCAUUGGACGCGUUUUGAUCCAUCGUGAGCCGGAAGGAUUGCGCUUGAAUCAACUGGGUUUGGGCAUCGAGAGCCGCCCGCUCUGCGACCAUCCUGAUCCCUUCUGCUGCCAGGUCCUCUUUAGCUUUCACUAGAUCCAACUUUAACUGUGCCACCUCCGCAUCAUGCUGAGCUUGAUCCGCCAGGUCAACCGUGGCGGUUAACAGGGCCGUCAUCUUGUCCGUGAGAUCCAUUAGCACCUGAGCCGGCGAAGGCACCGGGUUUCCCGCUCCAGCAGCAGGGUUCUGAACAGGCUGCGCACCGGCCAUGAAGAUUCCAACCCGGCUUGGCGGCUCAAACAGGUCCGGAAUACUGUCACCAUCGGAACAACCCAUGAGCCUGCCAUCUUGAAGUUGAUACAACGAAUUUGACUCAUCGGUGGAUGACUCGCCGUCAGAGCCGGCGGCCGUCUCAUCACCAGAUCCAGAUUGAUCAGAGAGCCCUCCAUGAAUACAUCCCACAAAAGCAUGCCUUGCGGCAGGCCGGGCCCGGGCGGGUCGUGCACGCUGAGCCGUCUCGAUGAGAUCGGCGCAGAGAUCCGGCUCAGGGCCCGGCUCACCAAUCUUGCCGAUGAACACGUGAAUUCCGCCGAAGGGGACCCGGUACCCGUACUCAAUUGAGCCGGCGUCGGGGCCCCAGUUUGUAUCGUCGAUGUAGAGCUUGCCGCGACGACUCUUGGUCAUCAGGCCCACAGCGUAUCCCUUGAGCCCUUCGAAGCUGCCCUUCAAGAACUCAAAUCCACCGUGCGCUGGCCCCACGGUGGGCGCCAACUGUCGUGGAAUUGUCACGGCAGAUGUCCUCGAGCUAGGACUUAGUCGUGGAGCCAUCGCAACUAGGAAGCUUGAAGGGGUUAAGUGGGACAAGGAACACGAGGGUUUAUACUGGUUCGGCCCCUUACGGUGAAGGUAAAAGCCUACGUCCAGUUUGAGGUGGUAUUGAUUAGGGUUUCGAUGACCAGGGAGCUUAACUCCGAUGCCUGGCUCUCGAUGAGAUUGUUGUUGUCCCUAAACCGCUACCGGGUCGUCCCUUUAUAUAGGGAGGCCGACGCCCAGCAGCUCUUAGAGUCCCGGCCGACUUAUAAGAGUGUCCGGCUCGGACUCUUAACUAUCCUUGCCUUAUACUACAAGUUCUACCAUAACAAUGAUUGUAAUUACAGGCCUUAAGCCAUAUCCGGGUCUUAAGCCCAUCUCUGGCCCAUCGUCUUCAAGCUUGGCUCCGGGCUUCUGGCAAUGACCGUAUGAGUAACCCGGCCUCUCCUGGCGGGUGACUCUAAGGUCUAUAUCCUCAACAGAGGCGGUGGCGAGGUGACGACGAUCUAAUCCGGCUCCGGUGGUGGUGGGGGAAGCGGUGGAGCCAUCCGGAGAGCCAUCGCACGAAGCUGGGUGAUGAUGGAGGUGAUGGCGUCUCUCUCCUUGGGGCGGCUAAGCGGCUGCCAAAGCUGCAAGUAACCAGACCAUUUGAACAAAGCGUUAGUAGCAUGACGAAGGGGAAUACGCUGAAUCACAAGUUUAUUCCUAACGGUCCACAGCGUCCAGGCAAGCACCCCAAUGGCCAGCCACCUAAUGUGGCGUACCGAGGGUGGGAACGCCUGGAGUUCGGUGAAGAGAGCGGGGAAGUUGUUGUGGUCCCAGCUUUCACCCACUAUUUUGCGGAAACAGCUCUAGAAGAACUGCGCGGACACGCAGGUGAAGAAGAUAUGGUUCGAGUCCUCUUCAGGCCCGCAAAGCAGGCAAUGUCCAUCACCGGGACCAUUGCAUUUCAGGACCUCCACACCGGACGGGAGGUGAUCUCGAAUCCAUUGCCACAAGAAGAUCCUAAUUUUCAAAGGGAGGCGGAUCUCCCAGAUGGCAGUGAGCGCCUCAUGGCCAAGCGAAGGGGCGAUGGCCUGGUAGAGGGAUCUAGUGGAGAAUUGCCCAGAAGGCUCUAGACGCCAUCUGGAGCGAUCAUCUCCAAUCGUGAGAUCAGGCUCGUGUAAUGCAAUGCAGUCAAGCAGUUCCUGCCAGUCCGCGUUCUCAGCCGGGCCAAAAGGUCUCCGGAACGCGAGUUGCUCUAAGUCAAUAAGGGUUGUCACGACAAAAAUCGGCGCGGCAACCGCGAUGGAGAACAGGUCCGGAAAGCUGGCCGCGAGGGGCAUGUCUCCAGUCCAUCUAUCGGACCAGAACAGUGUGGCGGUGCCGGACCCGACCGCGAUCGAGGUCCCGAUCCGCAGGACUGGGAGGAGCUGGAUGAUGGAUUGGCAGAACUGGGAGCCCCCAGACCGCUGGCAGAAGGCGAGAGGCUGGCCUCGGAGGUAUUUCUGUUGAAUGAGGCGAAGCCACAGGCCACCUUCACCGUUGGUAAUCCGCCGGAGCCACCGGGUCAGGAGGGCUAUGUUCAUGCGUUUGGAGGACAUGAUCCCAAGCCCGCCCUGGUCGCGAGGUUUGCAGAUCUCUGACCAUCGAACCAUGUGGUAUUUCUGUUUAUCGCCCUCGCCGGCCCAGAAGAAACGCCCCUGAACGGUGGCAAUCUCGUGAUGAAGAGUCUCCGGAAGGCUGUAGAAGCUCAUGAUGAAUAAGAGUAGGCUGGAGAGGGACGAGUUAAUGAGCACCGUCUAGGCCGCUUUCGAGAGCCACCGACCCUACCAAGGCUCAAUACGGUGCUGAAGCUUCCCCACCGUGGGGCGCAACUCGGCCACCGUGAGCCUGGAAUCACUAAUGGGUAUCCCCAGAUAUGUCAUGGGGAAGCACCCGAGCUGGCAAUUAAGCCGAUCCGCUAUGCUCUGUCGCUCGACUUGGGAGUAAUCCAAGACCAUCACAGCACUCUUGUCGAAGUUGAUCCUGAGGCCAGACAUCUGUUGGAAGCACAGCAGGAGGAACUUCAAGUUCGUGAUAUUGCUCGUCGAGCCUUCCACCAUGAUAAUGGUGUCAUCCGAUACUGGAGAAGGGAGAUUGUGGAGUAGUUAUUAGAUGAUGGGUUGCGAGAGUGACAGAAGCGAUGGGUUGCGAGAGUAACAGAAGCUUAAACCCUAGUUUAUGCGCUAUUCCGUAAGGGACCGAUGGAUCCAAAAGUUUAACGCUAUGGUUAGAAUUUAUUAUUAAUAUUUUUCUCGUAGUUGCGGAUGCUUGUGAGUGGGUUAAUCAUAAGUAGGAGACUUGUUCAGGUAAGAACAACACCUAAGCACCGGUCCACCCACAUAUCAAACUAUCAAAGUAGCGAACACGAAUCGAAUCAACAUGAUGAAAGUGACUAGAUGAAAUUCCCGUGUACCCUCAAGAACGUUUUGCUUACUAUAAGAGACCGUUUUGGCCUGUCCUUUGCUUCAAAAGGAUUGGGCUACCUUGCUGCACUUUUGUUACUACUAUCAUUACUUGCUCGUUACAAAUUAUCUUGCUAUCAAACUACUAUCUUACUUACAAUUUCAGCACUUGCAGACAUUAAUUUGCUGAAAACCAUUUGUCAUUUCCUUCUGCUCCUUGUUGGGUUCGACACUCUUACUUAUCGAAAAGAGAUACAAUUGAUCCCCUAUACUUGUGGGUCAUCACUUCACUUCUUCUUACCAAUCAGAACUUUCCACGNNNNNNNNNNNNNNNNNNNNNNNNNNNNNNNNNNNNNNNNNNNNNNNNNNNNNNNNNNNNNNNNNNNNNNNNNNNNNNNNNNNNNNNNNNNNNNNNNNNNNNNNNNNNNNNNNNNNNNNNNNNNNNNNNNNNNNNNNNNNNNNNNNNNNNNNNNNNNNNNNNNNNNNNNNNNNNNNNNNNNNNNNNNNNNNNNNNNNACACACACAGACCUGCCAUUCUGAAGGCAACUGCCCUCAGGUCAAACACCCGCCUCCGCUACUGACAGAAAGUGAUCUCACCCCUAUUUUGUCUAUAGCCGUCAAAUUCAACUUCUACUACUUAUAUAUCUUACACCACACUCUAAUCCCGUCCCACUCGCAACAUUGUUAGUAUCAUUACUAUGUAGGUGAGUCAUACCUGGUUGCCGUCCCCGGCCCGUCACAAACACUUCAAUGAAGUUGGUGCAUGCACCUGCUCCCCGCCGUGCGCCACAUGUUCUUCCAUGCCUUAACAUCGACUCUCUCCACUUGUGACGCCUGAAUCGCUGCCAUGCCAACCGCCCUUUCUAUAGUGGAGACUCGGCGAGCCUAGACCCUAAACCGCGAAUCCAAGCUCUGUAUUCGCCGCCAGCAGGUACAAAGAAGGAAGAAUUCGCCACUCCUAGAGCAGAGAUCUACACGGCCGACAAAAAGAUGAGAAAUCCAACUGAAAAAAGAAAGAUCGGCAGCGACGCGGUGGAGCACAGUAGGUGCCAUGCAAAACCGAAAUGGAAGGUAGCCGGCGGAUUCAAGGCGACGGCCCGGGGUGGCAACCCCCACCAUGCACCCUUUUCUUUCCCGUUUCUCGCCGAAACCCACAUAAAUACGCCGCCACCCUCCGAGGAACGCCGUCAUCUGUCUCUUUCCUCCUCUCCUCUCCUCGCCCGCUCGCCGAGACUGCGUGGCCGCGCCUGCAACACGUCGCCCGCGAGUCGGCGAGCGCGCCCAUCGCGCGUGGGAGAGACCUGGUAAAGCAAGAUCGCGCGUCAUCCUCUCUCUCUCGGUCUCUCCGUACCCUCGCUCUCUCGCUGCGCGAUCAUGCCUCUCUCGUGCUCUCACCACAGGACAGUCCAAGGCAGUACGAACACGCAGGGGACAGUCGAUCGAGGCGUCGCCGGCAGGCCGCGAUCACCCGCGGUACUCUGUCGCCGGCAGGCCAGCACCCCGAUCGAGCGAGACUCUGUCGCCGAUCGAGCGAGUAAGCAGAGACGCGUCGGUCCCUCCUCGCUUCUUUCAUUUUCCUUCUAUAUCUGCAUGGCCCCUUCCACGUCUAGGUGUCGUGUUUGUUUCCUUUGCUCGCCUCUUGCUCUGUUCCGGCCGAUCUGCAGUACCAGCAGAAUUACAGAUCAAAAAAGUGAAUUACAGGUCAAUCUAUAUAUCCUCAAGAGAAGAAUUACAUAUCGUCUACAAUAGCUAGUGAGUUGAGAAUAGCCAAGGGCAUUUGAACUUUGACAAGUCUCAUACGUGUGCGACGCGCUGAGGUCUGCAUGCCUGAAGUGUGUUACACCGAUCACGCGCUGGUCUUAUCGCCGUGAAGUCUACUCUUAUUCGAAUUCGCAUCAAAUUUGCCUUUUUAUGGGGCAUGCAUGCACGGCAGGUAUACACCCAAUUAAGGGGCAUAUCUUUUUCAAUCCUAUAACAAAUUUAUUCAAGAUUGCAAUCCCGUACUACAUUAUUUUGCCCAGUUACUGCUAUAUUUCGAAAUCUAGUAAUAAAUUGAAAGGGCCCUGGUUGCAUAUCGCCCCGGCCGAGAGCGGCCGCAAUAGCUCGACACAUGUCAGUAAAUGCUGCCGUAACUCUACUCCUUUUGCUAUUCUUGAAUGAUGAUUACCCCUUUCAGUUUUCCUAGACUACUCAUGGUAGAAGUAACAUAGGUAGUAACAUCACACAUAUCUAGAUAAAAUAGAUGAUGUGGCAAACAAUAAAUGAAGAAAGAGAGCAAAAUAGUAACAUAGCUAGUUACUAGUAGUAUGAGUAACAUCACAUUUACAUAUCAAGGCAAGAUGUGUCUAUAGCCUAAUAAAUAAAGUGUUGCAUGUUACCACACAUAUAUGUUACUCCCCACUAUAGAGGUAGUAACAUAGACUAGUAACACAUGGGCAUGUUACUAGUCUAUGUUACUACCCAUUGUGGCUAGUCUGAGUAGCAUCACACAUCUCAAGGCAAGAUGAGUCUAUAGCCUAAUAAAUGAAGUGUUGCAUGUUACUACACAUAUGUUACUCCCCACUAGUAACAUAGACUAGUAACAUUCUAUGUUACUACCCAUUGUGGCUAGUCUUAUGUCACUUUAUUGUGUACUUACUUGCUCUAAUAAUGCAUAGUAUCAUACAGUAGCUAGUAUCAUAUGCAGUACUUUAUUUAUAUUGUCAUGCAUGACACAUAGUAGCAUAACAUUUAUUAUGAUACGGUUUCAUGAUAUGAUACUUAACCCUCUCUUUCUUCAUUGUGGUUAGAUGUCCAUGUUACUAGUCUAUGUUACACAUAGAUGCCCGUGUUACUAGUCUAUGUUACACAUAGAUGCCCGUGUUACUAGUCUAUGUUACUACCUAGUCUAAAGCACAUCUAGAUGUGCUUUAAAUAUUGCACAUCUAACUCUAAUGGCAUUGAUUUUAUGCUAAGAUUCGUGUAAGCAUUUUUUGUUCUAAUUCGAUUUAAGUAGGACACAUCUAAAUGUGCCUUAAACAGAUCCCUUAUCCUUUAUCCUUUAGAGUGGUUGCCAAUUGUAACUGCUUGGUGGCUUUUUUUGGAUAUCAUUAACUAAUUAAUUGCUUGCAUGCAUGGUCCAGGCCAUGCUUGCUUUUGCAUCCCUUGUUUUCAGGAUUUCUUUUCCCUCUCUAUACGGGUGAGAUCAGGUCGGCCGUUUCUACUUCUCGUUGCUCAGUCAUGCUUUGGAAGGUACAUACUCUACUCCGUUUAAGAAUUAAGAUUCUUGCCUAUGCAUGUGCACAUUGCUUCUUCUUUCUUUUUAGAGAGAGAGAGUGAGUGUGUGUGUGAGAGAGAGAGAGGGGCAUGUGCACACUUGGCUUGGCUCUGUGCAUUGAGACUCGAGAGCUUUGUCCGGUUAACCACGAUGCCAUUUCGUUGCUCAUUGGUGACGAAUUCAUUUUUGCUUUUCUUUUCUAUUUUUGUAAAAUAAAAAUAACGCGGGGGGUGGGGGAGAGGGGGUCAGGAAUUUCCCACUUGGAUAUAUUUCCAGAAGGAGGCAACCCUCAAACGUUCACAACAAAGGUAAAGGGAAUCACAAAAAAAAGAGAAAUCAGAGGGGUACCGAGGCAAGCAAUCCAGUGGUCUGCUACACAGUUGUCUUUCCGACAUGCUCCGUGGUGGCGGUGGUGGCUGCACCUCUUGGUCGUAUGGGCAGCAAGGGAUUUAGCGGCGGGAGGCUCUGGCCUGCUCCGGCGGCACCCAGAUCUGGUGUAGUUGGGCUUGCUCUGGUUGUAGUGGUGAAGAUGAAAGAAUAGACGGCAGAGGAUAGGAAGCACAUUCUUCGGAUUCCUCUGGCCCCACGCCCCCCCCCCUCUUCCCGAAGGGCGACACGGGCGACGCUCCCAUCCGUUGCCUCUGGCGCUCCUUCCUUCCCCAUCCUCUCCCUCGCCGCCGUCAGUCAACGCCGUUGGGUAAAGCUGAAGUGGUGUGGAGGAGGUCGGUCGUUCCUACUUCUCGUUGCUCAAACAGUUGAGUUGUUGUCGCGGCUCGCGAGAAUUGGUCAAGCACAGAGUCAUGCUUUGGAAGGUACAUACUCUACUCGGUUUAAGAAUUAAGAUCCUUGUCUCAAGUAGAUUAAUUGCAUAUGCAUGUGCACCCUUAUUAUUAUUAUUAUUUGAGAGAGAGAAAGGGGCAUGUGCACUCUUGGCUUGGCUCUACGUGUUGAUAUUCGAGAGUUUUGUCCGGUUAACCGUGAUGCCAAUUAGUUGCUCGUGAGCGAUAAACAAUUCGAUCAAACUUUUAUGUUUCAGUUUUGCUUUUCUUUUCUAUUUUUGUAAGAAAAUAAUCAAAGCCGAGGGAGAGAGGGGGAUCCGGUAAUUUCCCACCUGAAUAUAUUUCCAAAAGGAGGCAGGUCUCAAAUGUUUAACGGAAUCACCAAAAAAGANNNNNNNNNNNNNNNNNNNNNNNNNNNNNNNNNNNNNNNNNNNNNNNNNNNNNNNNNNNNNNNNNNNNNNNNNNNNNNNNNNNNNNNNNNNNNNNNNNNNNNNNNNNNNNNNNNNNNNNNNNNNNNNNNNNNNNNNNNNNNNNNNNNNNNNNNNNNNNNNNNNNNNNNNNNNNNNNNNNNNNNNNNNNNNNNNNNNNNNNNNNNNNNNNNNNNNNNNNNNNNNNNNNNNNNNNNNNNNNNNNNNNNNNNNNNNNNNNNNNNNNNNNNNNNNNNNNNNNNNNNNNNNNNNNNNNNNNNNNNNNNNNNNNNNNNNNNNNNNNNNNNNNNNNNNNNNNNNNNNNNNNNNNNNUCAAAAGCAGAGGGAGAGAGAGGGUGUGAGGCCUCUAAACCCCAAGACCACCCCAUUGUGGUGCUUCUAGAAUUGCCAACAACACAAGAUGGCGAAGGCAUUGGUAGUGUCGGGGCUGACAGCGGUUGACACGUCCAUGAGGUGGAGAUUUCGCACUUCGGCGCUUUUUCAAGAACAACAAUCCCAAGCGGGUUCUAGAACCACGUAGCAAACAUGCACCGAUAGAUCAGGUGAUUGACAGUUUCAUGGGGUUCAUGGCAGAGGGGGCUCCCCAUGCCUUCCAGGGUGACAAUCCUAUUUGUUUAUUUCUAACAAAAAUCCAGUUCGAUCCACUUUCCCCUCUCGGGCCGCUUGCGCGGGCGGCUCUGGAGGCGCCAACCCUAGCGCCGAGAAGCCCCCGCCUCCAUGAGAUCCCCUUGCCGCCGCCGACGGCAGCGGUGGCGGCGCCCUGCCCACAAAGACGGUGAGCAUGGUCGGCGCCCCACGGGCCUCCCUCGCGCGGGGGAGGGCGCCAAGCGGGCCACGCGGGUGAGUUCUUCGAUGCUUGCCGCUAGUUCAAGUAGAUCUUCAUCGGCGCAAUGCACGCCGUUGCCGGUGAGUCAAAGACGAUAACUUGCUUGGGUCUGUUCGAAUCCCGACAUCCACUCGUCAUCUCCUUUUAUGCAUUCUAGGAUGGUUGGUGCAUCGGCAAGGGAGGUCCGGUUGUAGUUGUUGCUCUUUGAGGUGACCGGUGUUGGUCUAGACGCGGCUUUGUUGUUUUGCUUAGGGCAGGCUCCUUGCGUUGUGUUGUAAUGUGUGUGGUGGUUGAUCUUUGGAUUGACCCGGGUGUAAGCUACACUUGCUCUUUGCAGCGAGAGGUAGUUUUUUGUAAUUUUUUUCUACCUUCUAUAAAAAUAUGAUACGCCGUGUCGUACUCUAAAAAAGUAGGAGUAAUGAGGAUGUGACUAAAAUAAACUUAAAUAUAAAGUCAUUUGUAGAACCAGACAUCAGUCUAAUGGCAGUGUCGCAGUGACACAUCCUCAGCGAGUGAAUUUUCCGUAUGUACGGGUCUUCUGGAGGUCGUUUCAAUAUAAAGUCAUUUUAUUUGCUCAAAAAAUAUAAAGCCAUUUUGCAAUUAAAUUAAAUGAUUUUAAUGCGGUCGGAGCAGUGACCCCUAGCCGCCGGCAAGAUAGAAGUUUGUGCGUUCCAGUCCCGCCACCACCACCGCCACCCCUACCCGCCGGCAUAGCUCACCGUGAGCUUCGCCGGUCAAGAAUUCCGCAACCAUUCCGCGUAAACGCAAGUACCCGGCCGUGCGCCGCUGGCCGGCGGAUUGAUCGGGGCCACUCACUGUAGCUCCGAGGGCGAGUGAACGCGACGCUGGUGCUUCCCGUCGCGCCCUUAUCUGUCCCCGCCGUCGCCCCAUUCGCCGCGCGCCGACCUCUGCCUCUCCGUCGUCAUCGCCCCGUCCCUGGCGGCUCCCUUUCCCCGCUGGUGCCUCCGCGAUCACCAGGAUCGUCGAGGCCAACACCACGGGUGGGGGGUGACGACGGACGAUGAGGAACGUCAUGACGUGCUGGACGAUUGCCGGUGAGACCAUGUGCGAGGUGAAAGAGCACCGGACAGCAUUGCCGGAGAAGAGGGAGAAGGAAAGAGCUGUGAUGGAUUGUCCGCCGCCGCCCACAACCUGUUCGAUGUAUUGGCUGUGUGUGGAGGCAUUUCGCUACAAAUGUAAAGUGUAAAAUGAACCUUUUGACCCUGACAGAGUAGCAUCAUCAGGUAAGUGUUGCAAAUGGCAUGCCAUAUCUGGAAAGUUUGUACAAGAGCAAUCUUGCACGUGCACUUUCUUUGGAAGUUGGCGAUGGUAUUUAGAAUUACAUUGGCAUGUAUCCAGAUUCCCCUUGCCUGGGACUCUUAAUCUUACACAGUAAUUUCUCAUUUCUUAUUUAGCAUGUGUAUAUACCAAUCUAGAACACCAGCUUAAGCUUUGUUGAAUCACCUUCUGCUUUGUUGAAUCCACGAUCGUCUAUUGGCUCAUGGAAGAUGCCCUGAUCAGUUUUUUCUGCUAAGUACUCCCUUAGUUUCUAAAUAUAAGCCUUUUUAGAGAUUUCAAUUAGGACUACAUUCAGAUGUACAUAGACAUAUUUGAGUGUAAAUUCACUCAUUUUGCUUUGUAUGUAGUUGGUAUUGGAAUCUCUAAAAGGGCUUAUAUUUAGGAACGGAGGGGAUAUUUUUAGUACCUUAUUUCAUUUGUUUGCCUGCAAGAUUUAUUGGUUUGAUGUAUUGUCAUUGUUCAAAACUCUGUUACCUCAGCACUGAUACUUACUCUUGAUUGUCCCCUCCUUUUCCAGGAUAGCCUCUACCUGUUGGUCCAACUUCUCUGUAUUAUCCGUAUAUCUGCAUCGCCGGAAUCUGAUAAAAGGAAUCUAUUUGUUCUGAGGAAUGCAAUUCCUCAAGGGAAAGGCUUUCUCAGUGACUGGUUUGAUCCAAAAACUCCUCCAUGCAGAUGGUCAGGUAUAACUUGUGCGGGAGACGCGGUUGUGGCCAUAGAUCUGUCCCAUGUGCCACUCUAUGUCCCUUUUCCGUCAUGCAUCGGGGCAUUCCAGUUGCUUGUUCGGUUAAAGGUCAGUGGAUGUCAGUUCAAUGGUGAGCUCCCGGAAGUUGUGGGAAAUUUGCGGCAGCUCCAGUACCUAGACCUGAGCAAUAAUCAGCUCGCUGGCCCCCUACCAGUUUCAGUAUUUGACUUGAAGAUGCUUAAAGAACUGGUGCUUGACAAAAACUGCCUUUCCGGACAACUGAGCCCUGCCAUUGGUCAGCUUCAGCACCUCACUAAGCUAUCCAUGUCCGUGAAUUCCAUCUCUGGAAGCCUUCCUCCAGAGCUGGGAACCUUGCAGAACCUGGAGUUUCUGAACCUUAACAGGAACACAUUCAGCGGGUCGUUACCGGCAGCUUUCAGUAAUCUGACCCGGCUCUCAUACCUUGCCGCAAGCAAUAACAGCCUCACUGGAUCAAUAUUUCCUGGAAUAGGCACAUUGGUGAACCUCAGGAGACUUGUUUUGUCGUCAAACGGUUUGACUGGGCCAAUUCCUGAGGAGAUUGGUCAACUGGAAAACCUGGAACUUAUAAAUUUAAUGAACAAUGGUUUCACUGGAAGCAUUCCAGAAGAGAUUGGUCACCUGAAGCGGCUAAAAGUGCUUAAACUCUCCAACUGCAAGUUCAAUGGUGCCAUACCUCGGUCAAUCGGUGGUCUUGAAAGCUUGAUGACUCUUGAUAUAUCAGGGAACAACUUCACUGCUGAACUCCCAACAUCUGUCGGUGAACUGAGCAAUCUAACUAAAUUGUUAGCAGUUCAUGCAGGGCUCACUGGGGCCAUACCGAAAGAACUUGGUAACUGCAAGAAGCUUACUGCUAUAGACAUGUCCUUCAAUCAUUUUACUGGCUCUAUCCCUGAAGAACUUGCAGAGUUAGAAGCUAUUAUCAGCUUUAAAGCGGAAGGUAACAGACUGUCGGGUCGCAUUCCAGAUUGGCUUCGAAACUGGGGGAAUAUUAUGUCUAUAUCGUUGGCGAACAACAUGUUCAGUGGGCCUCUGCCAUUGCUGCCUUUGCAGCAUUUGGUUGAAUUCUCUGCAGGAAAAAACCUGCUCUCAGGCCCUAUCCCUGCCGGGGUGUGUCAAGCUAUCUCUCUGCGGUCACUCAACUUGUAUAGUAACAAUCUGACAGGGAGUAUCAAGGAGACAUUCAAAGGAUGCAGGAACCUCACUACACUGAAUUUGCAAGUUAACCAGCUCUGUGGUGAGAUACCAGAAUACUUGGCUGAGCUACAGCUAGUAAGCCUGGAUCUCACCCAGAACAAUUUCACGGGGUCUCUGCCUGACAAGUUCUGGGAGUCAUCAACUGUUCAGGAACUCUAUCUCAGUGAUAAUAACCUCACCGGCAUGAUCCCUGAGAGCAUUGCCGAACUUUCCCACUUGAAGAUUCUGCGGAUUGACAAUAACUACUUGGAAGGACCAAUUCCACGGUCGGUCGGCACUCUAAAGGGUCUGAUAACAUUGUCUCUGUGUUGCAAUAUGUUGUCUGGGAACAUCCCGGUAGAGCUCUUCAACUGCACAAACCUUGUCACGCUAGACCUGAGCUAUAACAGUUUGACCGGACACAUCCCAAGGGAGAUAUCACGCUUGACACUGCUUAAUAGCUUGGCUUUGUCUAAUAAUCAGCUGUCAGGCACUAUCCCUUCCGAGAUCUGUGUGGGAUUCUCGCGCGCGUCUCACGUUGAUUUGAGAUUUUAUCAGCACCAACGACUUCUUGACCUGUCAUACAACCAGUUGACUGGUCAGAUCCCAACAACGAUCAAGGAUUGUGCUAUAGUGGUGGAACUAUACCUGCAAGGCAACUUGUUGAAUGGAACUAUUCCUGCAGAGCUUGGCGAGCUGACGGGUCUUGCAACCAUUGACCUGUCUUUCAAUGCAUUAGUAGGACAUAUGCUUCCUUGGUCUGCACCAUCUGUACAACUUCAGGGCCUUUCUCUGUCUAAUAACCGCCUGAAUGGAUCCAUUCCUGCUGAGAUAGGCCACAUUCUUCCUGCAAUUUAUAAGCUGAACUUGUCGGGUAACACGCUUACUGGCAAUCUACCCCAGUCUUUGCUCUGCAACCAUCACCUAAGCCGUCUGGAUGUCAGUAACAACAACCUCUCUGGAGAAAUCCUAUUCUCCUGUCCCGAUGGGGAUGAAGGAUCCUCGAGUGCCCUGAAAACGUUCAAUGCAAGCAAUAACCAUUUCUCAGGGAGCCUCGAUGUGUCUAUCUCCAACUUCACAGGGCUGACCUCUCUUGAUAUCCACAGCAAUAGCCUCAACGGGAGCCUGCCUUCAGCUGUCUGCAAUGUUACCACUUUGAACUAUCUUGACUUAUCAAGCAACGAUUUCAGUGGCACCAUCCCAUGUGGUAUAUGUGAUAUGUUUAACCUUGUGUUUGCCAACUUCUCUGGUAACCACAUUGUUGGCACGUACAACUUAGCGGACUGUGCUGCUAAUAACAUCAAUCACAAGGCGGCUCAUCCAUCUUAUCGAGUUUCACUAGCAGCAAUCGUCUGUGGCAUUACGAUCAUUAUCAUUCUAUUGGUUCUUCUGGGGGUUUAUUUGAGACGGAGACUAUUGAAGAGAAGGUCCUCAUGGGCUCUUGUACCUGCGAGCAAGACCAUGGUGACCUCCGAGGAAACCUUAAGGAGCAAACUCCUAGGGAAGAAGUCACGGGAGCCUCUGAGUAUCAACCUCGCGACAUUUGAGCACUCACUGAUGAGGGUCGCCGCAGAUGAUAUCUUGAAAGCCACUGAGAAUUUCAGUAAUCUACACAUCAUAGGCGACGGCGGCUUUGGCACUGUCUACAGGGCAGCACUCUUCGGAGGCCGGCAAGUUGCUGUCAAGAGGCUGCACGGUGGCCACCAGCUCCAGGACAACCGUGAAUUCCAAGCUGAGAUAGAGACCAUUGGGAAGGUGAAACACCCUAACCUUGUUCCCCUCCUUGGCUACUGCGCUUCCGGCGAUGAGCGGUUCCUGAUCUACGAGUACAUGGAGCACGGGUGCCUCGAGGCAUGGCUGAGGAAGAACCGGACCGACGCAGCCUACGCGCUGGGAUGGCCGGACCGUCUCAAGAUAUGCCUCGGCUCUGCCAAGGGCCUGGCGUUCCUGCACCAUGGCUUCGUGCCCCAUAUCAUCCACCGGGACAUGAAAUCGAGCAACAUCCUGCUGGACUGGGACCUGGAGCCGAGGGUUUCCGACUUCGGCCUCGCGAGGAUCAUCAGCGCGUGCGAGACCCAUGUCAGCACCAACCUUGCCGGCACGCUCGGCUACAUCCCCCCGGAGUACGGGCUGUCGAUGCGAUGCACCGCGAGGGGCGACGUCUACAGCUUUGGCGUCGUCAUGCUAGAGCUGCUGACCGGGCAGGAGCCGACGGGGCAGGAGGUGGAUGAAGGCGGCGGAAGCCUCGUCGGCUGGGUGCAGUGGAUGGUGGCGUGCCGCCGCGAGAAGGAGGUGUUCGAUCCCUGCCUCCUGCCGGCUUCGGGCGCAUGCAGGCAGCAGAUGGCGCGCGUGCUCGCCAUCGCCCGGGACUGCACCGCCGACGACCCGUGGGCGAGGCCGACCAUGCUGGAGGUGGUGAAGGGCCUGAAAGCGACACGGAUGAUGGAAAACGCGCCUCCGGCGACGACACUCUCCAGAGCGGACCUCCGGUGGUGACAGUCUCUCUCCAGGGAGGGCAUGUGAUCCAGACAAGACAGCAUGCUCUUUGCUACCGUGUGAACUGGAAAUCGCCAGAUUAAGCUUCAGAUUCUCCUUUUUUGAUGUUCGCCGCAGGGCUAUUGCGUCCAUUCAAGAAGGAAGCCGGCGAAUGCUAUAGGAACAACUCUGUGGCAUAAUGCAGGCCAAUGAUAAACCCUUUUUGCGAGAGAUAACCUUUCUUCUUUUCAUUUCAUUUCUGAAAGGCGACAGCCCAAUCGUUGUAAGCUUGUAUCAGCAGAGUGUUAUCUGGAGAAUGUGACGAGUCACUGCAGCAACGGUGCUGCUGAAGUGCUAUACAUGCAUCCUCAAAUAAUG
rnacentral:lncRNA from 1 species